rnacentral:rRNA from 1 species
AUGGGCGGAACCCUGACGGAGCAACACUGCGUGACCGAUGACGGCCUUCGGAUUGUAAAGGUCUUUUCUGAGGAAUAAUUCUGACGGUACCUUAGGAAUAAGCACCGGCUAACUCCGUGCCAGCAGCCGCGGUAAUACGGAAGGUGCAAGCGUUAUCCGGAAUCAUUGGGCGUAAAGCGUCUCUAGGUUGUGUAUCUAAGUCGGGUGUUAAAUUCAAGGGCUCAACUCCUUGACUUGUAUCCGAUACUGGACCACUAGAGUCUUGUAGAGGCACGUGGAAUUCUGUGU